GCGAAAUGACGAUAAGAUUCACUGCUCAAUAAUUCACUGAAUUCUGUGAUGUUACUUUCGAAUCUCGACAGGUUCCGAUCGC